rnacentral:misc_RNA from 1 species
GCUGGUGAUGUUCAUGCAGUUUCAAUAAAAGGGUCAAGAACUGGAUGGCUACCCAUGUCAAGAAACUGGGGUCAAAACUGGCAAAGCAACGCAUUCCUCAACGGACAAUGCCUCUCGUUUAAGGUGACAACUAGUGAUGGCCGCGUUGUAGUCGCUAACGAUGUUGCACCUGCUGGGUGGUCCUUCGGCCAGACCUUCACAGGCCAACAGUUCGCUUAAUUACAUCUGAAAAACCAGACCAACCAAUUGCUGCAUAACUCAGCAAAUCAUACAUGGGGAAGGGUGUUAGUUUUGAUGUCAGAAAAUUUGACAGGGCUUAGUUUACAAUGUGGUCCUUGUCAAUUGUCGUUUCUAGAUUUCAUUGUGAUGUAGGUUUAGUUCUGUUCUGCCAUCUUUGAAAAGGCAGGUAGACAGGAAAUUUAGCAGUGGUGGACAUUUACCACCCGCAAUUUCAUUUUCUUUUUAGUUUCUUUGGUUAUUUGUGGAAAGCAAAUUUGGUCGCUCAUGCAGCCACUAUAACCAGCCUUUUGCUGGUUGCUGGAUGUCCUACAAUGGUGUUGUGACUUCUCCAUCUAUUAGUACUAUUAUUAAUAAAAAGCGUGCGUACAAUU